CAAGGAAUACAACAGACUCUUGGUGGAUAUUAUAAUAAGGGAAACUUUGGUGAACAUGGAGCUGGUGGCCCAAAAGGAGAGAAGGGUGAAACUGGACAACCAGGAUUUCCAGGACCUGUUGGCCCUAAAGGUCAAAAAGGAGAAUCUGGGGAACCUUUUACAAAAGGUGAAAAGGGAGAUAAAG